UUUUCAUGCCAUUUGGAGUCCUGUAGAUUAUGGUUUUGCUGCUGUCAAUAUGCCUUCAGAUCGAAAACUGCAGCUUCAUAAACUGCUAUUUUCACUAAGUCCGAAACUUUGUGUGAGAAGCCAUUUUGUGACUUCUUUUCCUAGUGUUCCAUGCUUCCAUGCUAGUUGUUGUUAGUUGUAUGUUGUAGUUAUUAUUGCC
rnacentral:lncRNA from 1 species